rnacentral:rRNA from 1 species
AUGUGUAAGGCCAAGCGAGAGGGGGGGAUGGGCUUUAGGGACCUCGAAGCUUUCAACCAAGCUUUACUAGCAAAACAGGCUUGGCGUAUCCUAUUGCUUCCAUCUUCUUUAUGUGCUAGGGUGCUCAAGGCCAGGUACUUUCCGGAUGGGUCGAUCAUGAACGCCACUUGCCCAAAUGGGGGCUCAUUCACCUUUAGGAGCAUCAUACAUGGU